AUUAGGGGGCACCGGGGUCUGCUUUCCGACUCCCUUCCGACUCUGCGCCUGCGCAGGAAGCUUUUUGGGGAGUGUUGUGAAUUCCGAGGGCUCCACACUUAAAAGGUUGUACACUCACCUGUCUACCUGGACUCCAAUUUCCAUAUUUCCAGCCACUUGAGGACUGAGAGGUGGAUGAUAAACCCUGUCAUAGUGGAGCAAGUUCAGGUGUUUAACCGCUGUUACGGGGGAUCUGCCUUUUCUCCCUCUCCUUUCUUACUUCCAUGAGUAUGUAUGUGCAGAGAUUGAAAAAUGACCUUGAGAGAGUCCAUCCAUCUAACUCCAGUUCAUUGGAAAUUUCUGCUUCUUUGAGACUGAGGUUAUAUUCCACUUCUUCUGACUACACCACCACCAUCAAGCUCCUUCUCUGAACUCUUGGAUCAUUACUUCAACCUGAAACAACUCAUCAGGCAGAAUAGUUGCCUACUGCCCCAACCCCACCAAAUGUUCCAGCACCUCUGAUAUUACCUCACAUGGCAAGAGGGCUUUGAAGAUGUGAUUGAGUCAAGGAUCUUGAAUGGGGAGAUUAUCCUGAAUUACUCAGGUGGACCCAGUGUAAUCACAAAGGUUUUUCAAAGAUGGAAGAGGGCAGAAGAGCCAGAAAAGGAUAUGUGACAAUGGAGUCAGUGUCAGAGUUGGAGUGACGUGAUGUGAGAAGGAUUCAACCUGCUGUUUCUGGCUUUGAGGAUGAAAGAAGGGGCCAUGAGCCAAGCAAUACAGGUGGCUUCUUUCAAGAAGUUGGAAAAGGAGGAAAGACCAAAAAAGGAUAAAACACACCAAAGUUUGUUCAAUCCAGCCAGUCCCCAGCAAAGACCUAAAAGAAUGAAUUCAUUUUCUGGAAACAUUGCAGCGUUAUAAGAGAAAUUAUAGACUAUUUGUUGAAGCUCAGCGUGUCCA
rnacentral:lncRNA from 1 species